UGGCUCCUACGGAAAUCCCGUGUCCGGGCAGUCCUCAGAGCUGCUGGAGGUAGGCGCUGCCGCCCAGCUGGUUCAUCUGUCGGCGGAUCCAGCC
rnacentral:tRNA from 1 species